rnacentral:rRNA from 2 species
ACGAACUCUGGUAUUGAUUGGUGCUUGCAUCAUGAUUUACAUUUGAGUGAGUGGCGAACUGGUGAGUAACACGUGGGAAACCUGCCCAGAAGCGGGGGAUAACACCUGGAAACAGAUGCUAAUACCGCAUAACAACUUGGACCGCAUGGUCCGAGCUUGAAAGAUGGCUUCGGCUAUCACUUUUGGAUGGUCCCGCGGCGUAUUAGCUAGAUGGUGGGGUAACGGCUCACCAUGGCAAUGAUACGUAGCCGACCUGAGAGGGUAAUCGGCCACAUUGGGACUGAGACACGGCCCAAACUCCUACGGGAGGCAGCAGUAGGGAAUCUUCCACAAUGGACGAAAGUCUGAUGGAGCAACGCCGCGUGAGUGAAGAAGGGUUUCGGCUCGUAAAACUCUGUUGUUAAAGAAGAACAUAUCUGAGAGUAACUGUUCAGGUAUUGACGGUAUUUAACCAGAAAGCCACGGCUAACUACGUGCCAGCAGCCGCGGUAAUACGUAGGUGGCAAGCGUUGUCCGGAUUUAUUGGGCGUAAAGCGAGCGCAGGCGGUUUUUUAAGUCUGAUGUGAAAGCCUUCGGCUCAACCGAAGAAGUGCAUCGGAAACUGGGAAACUUGAGUGCAGAAGAGGACAGUGGAACUCCAUGUGUAGCGGUGAAAUGCGUAGAUAUAUGGAAGAACACCAGUGGCGAAGGCGGCUGUCUGGUCUGUAACUGACGCUGAGGCUCGAAAGUAUGGGUAGCAAACAGGAUUAGAUACCCUGGUAGUCCAUACCGUAAACGAUGAAUGCUAAGUGUUGGAGGGUUUCCGCCCUUCAGUGCUGCAGCUAACGCA